AUCUGGGGGUGACACGGCAGCCCGGCACUAGAUGUAUGCUCAUGCUCGCUGUCGCCGCAGGGGAAUCCGGUGCGAAUCCGGAACUGUCCCGCAACGGUGUACUUGUGCGUAUCCGCGCACAGGAGUCAGUCCGAGGACCUGCCGACAGCGCACCCGGCCGU
rnacentral:ncRNA from 15 species